GUGCCAGCCGCCGCGGUAAUACGUAGGGUACAAGCGUUGUCCGGAAUUAUUGGGCGUAAAGAGCUCGUAGGUGGUUUGUCGCGUCUGCUGUGGAAUCGUGCCGCUUAACGGUGCGCGUGCAGUGGGUACGGGCAGACUGGAGUGCAGUAGGGGAGUCUGGAAUUCCUGGUGUAGCGGUGAAAUGCGCAGAUAUCAGGAGGAACACCGGUGGCGAAGGCGGGACUCUGGGCUGUUACUGACGCUGAGGAGCGAAAGCAUGGGGAGCGAAC
rnacentral:rRNA from 1 species